CACUGACCUGACAUGUUCCCGUUUCACCUUAGAGCACAUCAGUUGGAGUAAAGCUGAAGAUCCCUUCUCCGGUGGCAGGGAACUAGGAGACAGAUGGUGGGAUGUCUCAGGCAGAGGAUUCCCAGGACUAACUAAAGAGGAACUGCAGUCCCAAUUUCUCAAACUGAAAAGAUCGAUGUUUUGGAAGCACUACAGAGAAGAGCAACCUGAUUCAUUUCAGGACUUAAAGGAAUGACAGGUUGAAAGAACGGAACCUGUUCAGUCUUCAAGAGAGAAGACUACAAGGGGACUGGAUACAAGUAUUCAAAGUCCUCAAAAGCAUUGACGAAGUUAAGGCAGCUGACAUCUUCAGAAUGAACACUGAAACACAAGUGGAAUCCAUGGGCCAGCAUAUUUAAAAAGAGAAUAGAAGACACUUCUUGGUGGUACUCAAAGCGUUGUGGAGGAAGGAACACGUACUCACCAAUGUUGCUGAGGCUGAUAUCCUGGCUUCUGAUCUGGAUCUUCUGGAUCUGAUGGCCUGAUCAGAUCCUUGGAUCAAUCAGCUACUCAGCUCAGCUACUAACUGCCAAAUGGGCUAAAUGGCUCUCAUUUCCUCUCAUUUGUAACUUUUCUCAUGCUAAAGAUCACCCCACUAAUCUGACAUGAAAUUGUCAUAUUUAUCUUAUUUCCAGACACAGAUGUGUACUUUCUAGGCCUUCAUAUAAAAAGCUUCUUAAAGUAACUAUUUCUUACCAUUUUCUAAGCAAAUGCUUCAGUUCAGAAUCUCAUAAGUGGCAGGUAUAUUAAAGUAAAAAAUGGUAUAGAAAAAUGAAUUCAGAACUCUUCCUGUCCUUAAUGAAGAAAUUUUAUUUUAUGCCAAUUAUGGAAAAUACAAGACAUGUACUAGUGACAACAAGAACACGAUUUUGUCUUAAGAGUUCAUACAUUUUCAUUCGCAUUUUUCGAAUACAUUCUGCAUCUAUGCGUUUUCAAAAAAAUGCAUGUACAUAUGAUAGGUUAUGUUUUAUUUUACUUGUUGAAGCACAAUAGUAAGUAUGUGUCAUGACUGGUAACUGUAGACAGCUACAGCUUCGUCUAGUGCUUUGUUGAGUUGUUCUCUUUGUGUACAGUAGUCACAGGGGAGCUGAACUGCAAAUUGUACCAAUUAAGAGUGCAGCUGUGUUAAUGUGUGAGAAGGACAAUAGAGCAAGAGCUCAUCUGUCAACAGACAAGACGGAGGGAAUCCCUGAUACACAAAGACAAAGACGAUAAAGAAAGUCUAAGCACAAGUACAAACUAAACCCCUCCAUGCAAUCGUCACACCAUCAUAAUGACACAGUUCCAGGAGAAGGAGGAUAAGGAGGAUGGCCCACAGAUGAACGUGUCUGCCCGGAGAAUUAACUGCAAUCAGUGCUUAACAUCCAAUUAAUUUAAUUCCUGUGUGUAAGUAACGAAUCAGGAGCUGAAUGUGGGGAGAUAAAAUCUUCAAUCCCUGAUUAGCAAGACAAGGUGGAUGAACUGAGAACAGUAUCUGGCUGGAUUUACCAGAUGCAGACAAGAGGAAGGUUAUAUAGCGAAGAUUAGAGACUGUUUUAUUUAGGCUGUACUGUCACACAGAUGCACAUUAGUGGGAUACGUCUCUUUGACUUCUCAAGAAAUGUAUGCUUAACUGAGCACAUGUUAUCUGAAUUAAA